GACGAACGCUGGCGGCGUGCCUAAUACAUGCAAGUCGAACGCAGUGGCGAACGGGUGAGUAACGCGUCGGUAACUGCCUCAUAGGGGGGGAUAACUAUUGGAAACGAUAGCCAAUACCGCAUACUUUGAGAUGGACCUGCGUUGUGUUAGCUAGGUGGUGAGGUAAAGGCUCACCAAGGCGACGAUUCAUAGCCGACCUGAGAGGGAGAUCGGCCACAAUGGGAAUGGGACACGGCCCAAACUUCUACGGGAGGGCGCAGGAGGGAAUUAUCGGCAAUGGACGGAAGGCUGAACGCGCAACGGCGGGUGAGUUAAGAAGGGUUUCGGAGCGUAAAGCUCUUUUGUGCGAGAAGCGGUAACUAAACAGAAAGGGACGGCUAACUACGUGCCAGCAGCCGCGGUAAUAC
rnacentral:rRNA from 1 species